rnacentral:rRNA from 1 species
CAGGGAAUAUUAGUAAUGGGCGAAAGCCUGAACUAGCAACGCCGCGUGUGCGAAGAAGGCCUUCGGGUUGUAAAGCACUUUUUGAGAGGAUGAGGAAGGACGGUACUCUCAGAAUAAGUCUCGGCUAACUACGUGCCAGCAGCCGCGGUAACACGUAGGAGGCGAACGUUAUCCGGAUUUACUGGGCGUAAAGCGCGUGUAGGUGGUUUGGUAAGUAGGGCGUGAAAGCUCCUGGCUCAACUGGGAGAGGCCGUUCUAAACUGCCGAACUAGAGGAUGGUAGAGGGAGGUGGAAUUCCGGGUGUAGCGGUGGAAUGCGCAGAUAUCCGGAGGAACACCAGUGGCGAAAGCGGCCUCCUGGACCACUCCUGACACUCAGACGCGAAAGCUAGGGUAGCAAAC